rnacentral:rRNA from 1 species
UACGUAGGGAGCGAGCGUUGUCCGGAUUUACUGGGCGUAAAGGGCGCGUAGGCGGUCUGUUAAGCGUGAAGUGAAAUCUCCAGGGCUCAACCCGGAAACUGCUUUGCGAACUGGCAGACUAGAGGAAGGUAGAGGUAAGUGGAAUUCCCGGUGUAGCGGUGACAUGCAUUGAUACCGGGAGGAACACCCAUGGCGAAGGCAGCUUACUGGACCUUAUCUGACGCUGAGGCGCGAAAGCGUGGGUAGCAAACAGGAUUAGAAACCCCAGUAGUCC